GCCAGUGUGGCGUAGUGGUUUGAGCAUUGGGCUACAAUUCUGGAGAUCAGGGUUCAAUUCCCUGCUCAGCCA
rnacentral:tRNA from 1 species